UGCCAGCAUCCGCUGUACUACAUAUUGUGCGAUCGUUAAUCGGAAUUACUGGGCGUAAAGCGUUCGCAGGCGGUUUUAUAAGUCAGAUGUGAAAUCCCCGAGCUCAACUUGGGAACUGCGUUUGAAACUGUAAGACUAGAGUGUGUCAGAGGGGGGUAGAAUUCCAUGUGUAGCAGUGAAAUGCGUAGAUAUGUGGAGGAAUACCAAUGGCGAAGGCAGCCCCCUGGGAUAACACUGACGCUCAUGAACGAAAGCGUGGGGAGCAAACAGGAUUAGAUA
rnacentral:rRNA from 1 species